rnacentral:rRNA from 1 species
AGAGUUUGAUCAUGGCUCAGAUUGAACGCUGGCGGCAGGCCUAACACAUGCAAGUCGAGCGCGAAAACACUUCGGUGUGAGUAGAGCGGCGGACGGGUGAGUAAUGCUUGGGAAUCUGCCCAAUAGUGGGGGAUAACGUGUGGAAACGCACGCUAAUACCGCAUACGUCCUACGGGAGAAAGCAGGGGAUCUUCGGACCUUGCGCUAUUGGAUGAGCCCAAGUCAGAUUAGCUAGUUGGUGGGGUAAUGGCUCACCAAGGCGACGAUCUGUAGCUGGUCUGAGAGGAUGAUCAGCCACACUGGGACUGAGACACGGCCCAGACUCCUACGGGAGGCAGCAGUGGGGAAUAUUGCACAAUGGGCGAAAGCCUGAUGCAGCCAUGCCGCGUGUGUGAAGAAGGCUCUAGGGUUGUAAAGCACUUUCAGUGGGGAGGAAAAGUUCAAAACUAAUAUUUUUGAACCUUGACGUUACCUGCAGAAGAAGCACCGGCAAACUCCGUGCCAGCAGCCGCGGUAAUACGGAGGGUGCGAGCGUUAAUCGGAAUUACUGGGCGUAAAGCGCGCGUAGGCGGUUUGUUAAGUCAGCUGUGAAAGCCCCGGGCUCAACCUGGGAACUGCAGUUGAUACUGGCCGACUAGAGUACGAGAGAGGGAGGUAGAAUUCCAUGUGUAGCGGUGAAAUGCGUAGAUAUAUGGAGGAAUACCAGUGGCGAAGGCGGCCUCCUGGCUCGAUACUGACGCUGAGGUGCGAAAGCGUGGGGAUCAAACAGGAUUAGAUACCCUGGUAGUCCACGCCGUAAACGAUGUCUACUAGCCGU